UACGAAGGGUGCAAACGUUGCUCGGAAUUAUUGGGCGUAAAGCGCACGUAGGCGGCCCAGCAAGUCGGAAGUGAAAUCCCACGGCUCAACCAUGGAAGUGCUUUCGAAACUGCUGGGCUUGAGUACAAAAGAGGAUCGCGGAAUUCCCGGUGUAGAGGUGAAAUUCGUAGAUAUCGGGAGGAACACCAGUGGCGAAGGCGGCGAUCUGGGUUGAUACUGACGCUGAGGCGCGAAGGCUAGGGUAGCAAACAGG
rnacentral:rRNA from 1 species